CCCCUCUCAGGAUCGCACCAGGAGAGUUUCCAGUACCCUUCCAGUCUUGGCUAUCAGAGUGAGAGCUAAGCAGAAGUAUACCCUUUCCAUUUCUAGCUUGGGCAGUGGCUAGUGAGUGGAAGACAGUCUGCUACAAGA